CCUACGGGAGGCAGCAGUGAGGAAUAUUGCGCAAUGGGCGAAAGCCUGACGCAGCGACGCCGCGUGAGGGAUGAAGGUCUUCGGAUCGGAAACCUCUGUCAGCAAGGAAGAACAGGCACUGUGCUAAUCAGCAGUGAAUUGACUGUACCUGCAAAGGAAGCACCGGCUAACUCCGUGCCAGCAGCCGCGGUGAUACAGAGGGUGCGAGCGUUAAGCGGAAUUACUGGGCGUAAAGGGCUCGUAGGCGGUAUGUCAAGUCAAGGGUGAAAUCCCCGCGCUCAACCUGGGCACUGCCUUUGAAACUGGCAAACUCGAGUGGGUGAGAGGAGAGUGGAAUUCCAGGUGUAGGAGUGAAAUGCGUAGAUAUCUGGAGGAACAUCAGUGGCGAAGGCGACUAUCUGGCACAUCACUGACGCUGAGGAGCGAAAGCGUGGGUAGCAAACAGGAUUAGAUACCCGAGUAGUC
rnacentral:rRNA from 1 species